AAUAGCAAGCUGGCUCCUGGCCGAGCACAGUGGACAGCUGCAGGCGGCCAGGACACUAGUGAAGGACGCAGAGGGAAAGAGCCAGGAAAGCGACCGUCUGCUGCUCGUGGCCAGCGCCAACCUGAGAGAGUUUGAGGUAUUGCAUCGGAACUGAGUAAAUUGAGAAAUACAGCAAACAUUUCAAAAGAACGCUGAUAAAAUUACCAGGCAGACCAAUGAAUCACUCUCGAUACAUAGAGCAAUUCCUGAAGAUGUGGGACACCAAGGAGCCAGAACUAAAGAGCUGGCCACAUCUGUAAACAGGAGCGCUGUGAGCACGCUGGCAGAUGUGGCAGGGGGUUGAGCUGGAAGCUGC